rnacentral:lncRNA from 1 species
AGAAAUAGUAGAGAAGAGAAAGUGUCCACAUUAACCUCAUCAAUUUACGUGUUUUUUUCAAGCACAAGCAAACGUUGCUUACGUCCCUCAUCCCUCCAAUCACCACCCUUUGUCUUUAUCUUUAUCAUCACUUCACAUGCCAUUUUAAUAUUUAAAUGAAGUUGUCUACGUAAGAAAAAAUAUAAACCAUUACCCACAAAUAUUUAUUAAUAAUUGCCUAC